rnacentral:rRNA from 1 species
UAGGGGUGAAAUCCGUUGAUAUCAUGGGGAACACCAAAAGCGAAAGCAGUACACUAGCGCAUAUUUGACACUGAAACACGAAAGCGUGGGUAGCGAAUGGGAUUAGAUACCCCAGUAGUCCACGCCCUAAACGAUGAUCUCUCGCUAUUCGGAGUAUCGACCCUCUGAGUGGCUUAGCUAACGCGUUAAGAGAUCCGCCUGGGAAGUACGGCCGCAAGGCUAAAACUCAAAGGAAUAGACGGGGACUUGCACAAGCAGUGGAUUAUGUGGUUUAAUUCGAUGGUAAACGAAGAACCUUACCAAGGUUAGAAAUCCUAGUGAAAGCUCGCAGAAACGCGAGGCCUCGCAAGACUCUAGGACAGGUGAUGCAUGGCCGUCGUCAGUUCGUGGUUUGAAUUGUUCCCUUAAGUGGGGUAACGAACGCAACCCUCGUUGUGUGUUACAAGUGUCACACGAUACUGCCCCCGCCAAAGAACAUAAUUAUCAAUUAUCAAUUACGAAUUACGAAUGAAAAUACAAAUAAAAAAUGUGUUUAAAUUCGUAAUUCGUAAUUCGUAAUUUUUAAUUGUUUUUUUCGGCGGGGGAGGAAGGAGAGGAUGACGCCAGGUCAGCAUGUCCCUUGAUACCUUGGGCUACACACAUAAUACAAUGGCCACUACAACGCGCAGCGACGAGGCGACUCUGAGCUAAUCGUCCAAAAGUGGCCCCAGUUCGGAUUGGAGUCUGCAACUCGACUCCAUGAAGUUGGAAUUGCUAGUAAUCACAGGUCAGCUAAACUGUGGUGAAUACGUUCUCAAGUCUUGUACUCACCGCCCGUCAAGUCAAGGGAGCCGGGAGUACCCGAAGUCUCUACAUAAGUAGGGCCUAAGGCAAGCUCGGUGACAGGGACUAAGUCGUAACAAGGCACGGCUAGCGGAAGCUGGUCGUGGA